rnacentral:rRNA from 1 species
UACGUAGGGGGCAAGCGUUAUCCGGAUUUACUGGGUGUAAAGGGAGCGUAGACGGCAAUACAAGUCGGAAGUGAAAUACCCGGGCUCAACCUGGGAACUGCUUUGGAAACUGUAUGGCUGGAGUGCUGGAGAGGUAAGCGGAAUUCCUAGUGUAGCGGUGAAAUGCGUAGAUAUCAGGAGGAACACCGGCGGCGAAGGCGGCCUGCUGGACCGCGACUGACGUUGAGGCUCGAAAGCGUGGGGAGCGAACAGG